rnacentral:tRNA from 1 species
UAGCUCAGUCGGUAGAGCAGAGGACUGAAAAUCCUCGUGUCGGCGGUUCGAUCCCGUC